rnacentral:lncRNA from 1 species
UUGGGGUAAUGGGGCACUGGGAUAUUGGGGUCAUGGGGUGGGGAUUUGGGGGCACCGGAAGAUGGGGGACUGGGACAGGGGAGACAUUGGGAUGUGAGGAUGUGGAGAUAUUGGGAUAACGGGGACUGUGGGAUGUGGGGACAUUGGGGUGUGGGAAUAUGGGGAUGCUGAGAGCUGGGAAUGCGGGGACUUUGGGAUAUUGGGACAUGGAGACAUUGGGAUUUGGGUUUAUGGGGACAUGGGGACAUUGGGACACUGGGAUUUGGGUUUAUGGGGACAUGGAGACUCUGGGAUUUGGGUUUAUUGGGACACGGAGACACUGGGAUUUGAGUUUAUGGAGACAUGGAGAUAUUGGGAUUUGGGUUUAUGGGGACAUUGGGAUACAGACACAUUGGGGCAUGGAAAUAUGGGAACAUUGGGAUGAAGGAAUGUGAGGACAUUAGGACAUAAAAGCAUGGGGAUGUUGGGAUUUGGGUUUAUGGGGACACUGGAACAUGGAGACAUUGGGAUUUGAAUUUAUGGGGAGAUGGAGACGUUGGGAUUUGGGUUUAUGGGGACAUGGAGACAUUGGGAUUUGGGUUUAUGAGGCAUGGAGACACUGGGAUUUGGGUUUAUGGGGACAUUGGGACACUGGGAUUUGGUUUUAUGGGGACAUUGGGACACGGAGACAUUGGGAUUUGGGUUUAUGGGGACAUUGGGACACAGAGACAUCAGAGCAUGGGGAUAUGGGGACAUUGGGAUGGAGGAAUAUGGGGACAUUGGGACAUAAAGCAGUGGGGACAUUGGGAUUUGGGUUUAUGGGGACACGGAAACACUGGGAUUUGGGUUUAUGGGGACAUUGGGACAUGCAGACAUUGGGAUUUGGGUUUAUGGGGACAUGAAGACAUUGGGAUUUGGGUUUAUGGGGGCAUGGAGACACUGGGAUUUGGGUUUAUGGAGACAUUGGGACAUGCAGACAUUGGGAUUUGGGUUUAUGGGGACAUUGGGACAUGGAGACACUGGGAUUUGGGUUUUUGGGGACAUUGGGACACAGAGACAUCAGGGCAU